rnacentral:rRNA from 1 species
AGAGUGAACGCUGGCGGUAGGCCUAACACAUGCAAGUCGAACGGCAGCACAGUAGGAGCUUGCUCUUACGGGUGGCGAGUGGCGGACGGGUGAGGAAUACAUCGGAAUCUACCUUUUGGUGGGGGAUAACGUAGGGAAACUUACGCUAAUACCGCAUACGCCCUUCGGGGGAAAGCCGGGGACCAGCAAUGGCCUGGCGCUGAUAGAUGAGCCGAUGUCGGAUUAGCUAGGUUGGUGAGGUAAUGGCUCACC